rnacentral:rRNA from 1 species
UGGGGAAUAUUGGACAAUGGGCGAAAGCCUGAUCCAGCCAUGCCGCGUGUGUGAAGAAGGUCUUCGGAUUGUAAAGCACUUUAAGUUGGGAGGAAGGGCAGUAAGUGAAUACCUUGCUGUUUUGACGUUACAGACAGAAUAAGCACAGGCUAACUCUGUGCCAGCAGCCGCGGUAAUACAGAGGGUGCAAGCGUUAAUCGGAAUUACUGGGCGUAAAGCGCGCGUAGGUGGUUCGUUAAGUUGAAUGUGAAAGCCCCGGGCUCAACCUGGGAACUGCAUCCAAAACUGGCGAGCUAGAGGAGUGCAGAGGGUGGUGGAAUUUCCUGUGUUGCGGUGAAAUGCGUAGAUAUAGGAAGGAACACCAGUGGCGAAGGCGACCACCUGGGCUCAUACUGACACUGGGGUGCGAAAGCGUGGGGAGCAAACAGG